UACGUAGGGUGCAAGCGUUGUCCGGAAUUAUUGGGCGUAAAGAGCUCGUAGGCGGUCUGUCGCGUCGGCUGUGAAAACCCGGAGCUCAACUCCGGGCCUGCAGUCGAUACGGGCAAACUGGAGUGUUGCAGGGGAGACUGGAAUUCCUGGUGUAGCGGUGAAAUGCGCAGAUAUCAGGAGGAACACCGGUGGCGAAGGCGGGUCUCUGGGCAACAACUGACGCUGAGGGGCGAAAGCGUGGGGAGCGAACAGG
rnacentral:rRNA from 1 species